UACGGAGGGGACUAGCGUUGUUCGGAAUUACUGGGCGUAAAGCGCACGUAGGCGGAUUUGUUAGUCAGGGGUGAAAUCCCGAGGCUCAACCUCGGAACUGCCUUUGAUACUGCAAAUCUCGAGUCCGGAAGAGGUGAGUGGAAUUCCUAGUGUAGAGGUGAAAUUCGUAGAUAUUAGGAAGAACACCAGUGGCGAAGGCGGCUCACUGGUCCGGUACUGACGCUGAGGUGCGAAAGCGUGGGGAGCAGACGGG
rnacentral:rRNA from 1 species